GACGAACGCUGGCGGCGCGCCUAACACAUGCAAGUCGAACGAGAGAGAGGAAGCUUGCUUCCUCAAUCGAGUGGCGAACGGGUGAGUAACGCGUGAGGAACCUGCCUCAAAGAGGGGGACAACAGUUGGAAACGACUGCUAAUACCGCAUAAGCCCACAGGUCGGCAUCGACCAGAGGGAAAAGGAGCAAUCCGCUUUGAGAUGGCCUCGCGUCCGAUUAGCUAGUUGGUGAGGUAAUGGCCCACCAAGGCAACGAUCGGUAGCCGGACUGAGAGGUUGAACGGCCACAUUGGGACUGAGACACGGCCCAGACUCCUACGGGAGGCAGCAGUGGGGAAUAUUGCACAAUGGGGGAAACCCUGAUGCAGCGACGCCGCGUGGAGGAAGAAGGUCUUCGGAUUGUAAACUCCUGUUGUUGAGGAAGAUAAUGACGGUACUCAACAAGGAAGUGACGGCUAACUACGUGCCAGCAGCCGCGGUAAAACGUAGGUCACAAGCGUUGUCCGGAAUUACUGGGUGUAAAGGGAGCGCAGGCGGGAAGACAAGUUGGAAGUGAAAUCUAUGGGCUCAACCCAUAAACUGCUUUCAAAACUGUUUUUCUUGAGUAGUGCAGAGGUAGGCGGAAUUCCCGGUGUAGCGGUGGAAUGCGUAGAUAUCGGGAGGAACACCAGUGGCGAAGGCGGCCUACUGGGCACCAACUGACGCUGAGGCUCGAAAGUGUGGGUAGCAAACAGGAUUAGAUACCCUGGUAGUCCACACCGUAAACGAUGAUUA
rnacentral:rRNA from 1 species